rnacentral:rRNA from 1 species
CAAUAGCGUAUAUUAAAGUUGUUGCAGUUAAAAAGCUCGUAGUUGGAUUUCAGUCUUAAUUCGUCUGGCCCGCUCCCUUGAGGAGCCGAGUGCCGGUUGCGAAUUGGACUUCCUUCUAGCAUGAAUCUCCUACCGUUAUGCGGCCGGGAAGGACAUCUGGAUCAUUUACUUUGAAGAAAUUAGAGUGUUCAAAGCAAGCUUACGCUGUGAAUAUAUUAGCAUGGAAUAAUAACAUAGGACUCGGUUCUAUUUUGUUUGGUUUCUUAGGACUCAAGUAAAUAGAUUGAUAGGGACAGUGGGGGUGGCUGCUAUUAUAUGGCCAGAGGUG